AAAAGGAUAGUGCGCGCGUGUAUCCUACAGAGAGAUACACAGAGGGUUUCUAUCUAUUGGUUGGAUUAAUGGCGCCCAGAAAACGAAGAGUCGUGGAGGAAGAACCAGCAAAGCCCAAGUUGCCAACGAGGGUGACUCGGAGCGCGGCCAAGCGAGCGGCCAAUCCAAACUCGGCUGACUUCGUGUCUGAGGGGCCCCGGACCGACUUACCGAAGAAGAAGGCCAAGAAGGUCGUGAGGAAAGAAGAGCAAGGGAAGGAAAUUUCGAAAGCGGCGAAGACGAAGACCAUAGUGAUUGAGCACUGCAAACAAUGCAAUUCAUUCAAGACAAGGGCCAUUAGGGUGAAAGAAGGUUUGAAGAAAGGUGUUUCUGGUGUCACAGUGCUGGUCAAUCCCAAUAAGCCGAGAAAGGGUUGCUUUGAAAUAAGGGUGGAUGGUGGUGAGACGUUCAUCAGUCUUCUGGUACUGGCAGCGCAAAUGUCAUCGACUGUCACAAAUAUUCUGAUGAAGAAUUAAGUUCAUCAUGUUUUGUCCUCUUCAAAUAUGGAGCUACUGCAAAUAUGAUGGACAUGAAGCGACCAUUUGCACCAAUGAAGGCUCUGGAGAUUGACAAAGUCAUCUCUGAUAUUAUUGACAAGAUCAAAUGAUAACCAAGUACUUGCAUGUGGAUUUUGGUGUUUGCCGUGACAGUGAUUUUGUUGUAGUAAAACGCGAAGUUAAACACUUCCUCUUACGGUAGAAACCUUAUUACUAAUAUCUGUUCGUUCGCUUUACUAUUUUCCAGUAGUACUAACACUGUGAGCUGUGAAGAUGAGGGUACUUAGACAUUGACCGUCAUUCUGGAUAUUGUCGACUGGGUGAGGUGAUGCAUACAGGUUAGGCCCAUUUAACAAUUUGAUUGUCGUAACAGCACCUUUUUUGUUAGUGCUUGAAGGAAGCAAAGUUGCCUUCAUGGUAAAAAGAAUUUCCAUUGAUUUUGUGUGCUCUGUCCAUUGCUUUGAUAGUCAUUGUUUUCUUGCUGCUUGCUUUGUCUUUCAUUUAUGUUUUUUGUUCCUCUAUUGGGUCAAUAUUAUUGUAAUUGUUACUAAAAUAAUAACGGAAAUUACAUUUUGCA